CCCGGUGUCGUGAUGAUUUACGCACAAUCGCAUAGUUCAUCUGAAUCUUUGUGAUGAAAACUCGUAUUUAUAGUCUUUCGCUCCCAUCUGAUCACACCAAC
rnacentral:snoRNA from 1 species